CUGAUGGACGCGUUCGGGUCAAUUGCGGACUGCAACACCCGAUCUCGCUGGUCGAUCCCACCGACGUGGGACUCGACGAGGGGGAGCGUGUGACCGUCAG
rfam:Halococcus saccharolyticus DSM 5350 contig_25, whole genome shotgun sequence.